UACGAAGGGGGCUAGCGUUGCUCGGAAUCACUGGGCGUAAAGCGCACGUAGGCGGAUCUUUAAGUCAGGGGUGAAAUCCCAAGGCUCAACCUUGGAACUGCCUUUGAUACUGGGGAUCUCGAGUCCGGAAGAGGUUGGUGGAACUGCGAGUGUAGAGGUGAAAUGCGUAGAUAUCGUAAGGAAGACCAGUGGCGAAGGCGAAUCUCUGGACAGUUACUGACACUGAGGCACGAAGGCCAGGGGAGCAAAUGGG
rnacentral:rRNA from 1 species